AAGCAUCGUGUCCUUGACCUUGCUGGCCAAGUGCUGCUGGGCGACGUCGAGCGUAAACCGUCCCUUUGUUCCAAGUGGUAUGGCGCGCAUGCCCAAUCCGCCUUUCUUUAACGCCAGCAUCCCACAGGAUCUGUGACGCUUCUGNNCUGGCCUUCGAUCAUCGCGCGUAUUGAAACAGUCACCCUCCAAGAAACACAGGCACCAGAUCCUCCUC
rnacentral:misc_RNA from 1 species